UUUUGUCAACUUUUCUCUGUUUUGGGUUAUAUCUGUGACUGUCCGAGUCUUCACUCUUUCUAUCAUUGACUUUUUACACUAUAUAUUCUGCUGUAAUCCUUCGUAGGGAGAUGUCUUCUCCUCCACCUCUUAUUCUAACCCUUUGUAAAUACUUGGUUCUUUCUUAACAAAAUCCUUGGUGAGUAGUGGGUUAUUUCCACU
rnacentral:lncRNA from 1 species